UUCAACGGCCGCGGUAUUCUGACCGUGCAAAGGUAGCGCAAUCACUCGUCCUUUAAAUAAGGUCAAGUAUGAAAGGCUAGACGAGGGCUUAACUGUCUCCCCCUUCAAGUCAGUGAAAUUGAUCUAUCCGUGCAGAAGCGGGUAUAAUUAUACAAGACGAGAAGACCCUUUGGAGCUUAAGGUACAAAGCUUUAAUCAUGUUAAACAAAAAAUAUUUAAACCUAGUGAAAAUUAAAACUUUACCUUCGGUUGGGGCGACCACGGAACAAAAAAUAACUUCCAAGUGGAAUGGGGUAUAACCCUAAAACUAAGAAACACAUUUCAAAGUCACAGAAUAUCUGACCAAACAUGAUCCGGCUUUACGCCGAUCAACGAACCAAGUUACCCUAGGGAUAACAGCGCAAUCCUCUCCCAGAGUCCAUAUCGACGAGAGGGUUUACGACCUCGAUGUUGGAUCAGG
rnacentral:rRNA from 1 species